AGCUCCAAUAGCGUAUAUUAAAGUUGCUGCAGUUAAAAAGCUCGUAGUUGCAUUUCCGAGGCAAGGGAUUAGUCCGACCUUUGGUGGGUAUUUAAUCCUCUUGCCUCGUCCUUGCGUGGUGCUUCUUGGUAUUAAGUUAUCGAGGAGAUAGCCGCUCAUCGUUUACUGUGAGAAAAUUAGAGUGUUCAAAGCAGGCUUAUGCCGUUGAAUAUAUUAGCAUGGAAUAAUAAGAUAGGACCUCGGUACUAUUUUGUUGUUUUGAGAACCAAGGUAAUGAUGAAUAGGGACAGUUGGGGGUAUUCGUAUUCAGUUGUCAGAGGUGAAAUUCUUAGAUUUACGGAAGACGAACUACUGCGAAAGCAUUUACCAAGGAUGUUUUCA
rnacentral:rRNA from 1 species